rnacentral:rRNA from 1 species
UACGUAGGAUGCGAGCGUUGUCCGGAAUUAUUGGGCGUAAAGAGAACGUAGGCGGUUUCUUAAGUUUGGGCUUAAAGACCGGGGCUCAACCCCGGGAAUGGAUCGAAUACUGGGAGACUGGAGGAUGUCAGAGGAAAGUGGAAUUCCAAGUGUAGCGGUGAAAUGCGUAGAUAUUUGGAGGACCACCGGUGGCGAAAGCGACUUUCUGGGGCAUUCCUGACGCUGAGGUUCGAAAGCGUGGGGAGCGAACAGG